rnacentral:rRNA from 1 species
UACGUAGGGGGCAAGCGUUGUCCGGAUUUAUUGGGCGUAAAGAGCGUGUAGGCGGCCAAGCAGGUCCGCUGUGAAAACUCGAGGCUCAACCUCGAGACGUCGGUGGAAACCGUUUGGCUAGAGUCCGGAAGAGGAGAGCGGAAUUCCCGGUGUAGCGGUGAAAUGCGCAGAUAUCGGGAAGAACACCCGUGGCGAAGGCGGCUCUCUGGGACGGUACUGACGCUGAGACGCGAAAGCGUGGGGAGCGAACAGG